CUAGCUCUUGUAAUUGGUUAGGAUAAUAGAGAGUUGACUUUACACUAAUGUAAUUAGACAUUAUAAAUAGAGAAGUUGUGAAUGAAAAGCAAUCAAACAAUUUUUUUUCAAGUACCUCUCCAAGCAAAAUUAAGCUAAUUAUAAGAGAUUAAAAGAGAUUAAGUGGUUGUUUGAUUAUCGAUCAAAAUGACUUUCCCAAAAAAUGUGAAGCCACUAAUUUUUGUGCUUCUGCUCGUUUUCAUGGCAUCUAAUUUUGCAUCAGGGCAGCAGUGGUGCACCUUACAAGGUUAUCCAUGUGGUCAAGGUUUAGACCCGUGUUGUGACGGACUAUGGUGUAAUGCGGCAGUUAUUGGUACUUGUUGUGGUGGUAGUGCGAUGUGGUGGCCGUUAUGCGAUCGCUAAUUAGUGAAUCAAAUGAUAAAUGGAUGGUGUUGUAUGUUGUAUCGAUUUCUUGUUUUUCUUAUGUUUUGUUGUAUUAUUGUCAUCUGAUAAACACGUACAUUAUGUGUGUAUUUGUACGUGUUUCUAUUUCUUGUUCGUUAUCGAUGUUAAGAGUGAUGGGUUGUUGAUCA